rnacentral:rRNA from 1 species
UACGUAGGGUGCAAGCGUUAAUCGGAAUUACUGGGCGUAAAGCGUGCGCAGGCGGUCGUGUAAGACAGAUGUGAAAUCCCCGGGCUCAACCUGGGAACUGCAUUUGUGACUGCACGGCUCGAGUGCGGCAGAGGGGGAUGGAAUUCCGCGUGUAGCAGUGAAAUGCGUAGAUAUGCGGAGGAACACCGAUGGCGAAGGCAAUCCCCUGGGCCUGCACUGACGCUCAUGCACGAAAGCGUGGGGAGCAAACAGG